rnacentral:rRNA from 1 species
CGAACGCUGGCGGCGUGCUUAACACAUGCAAGUCGAACGCGAAAGGGACUUCGGUCCUGAGUAAAGUGGCGGCACGGGUGAGUAACGCGUAGAUAACCUGUCUUCAUGUCUGGAAUAAUACGCCGAAAGGGGUACUAAUACCGGAUAUUCUUGCUUUUCAUAAGUUAUGCAAGCAAAGGUGGCCUCUGCAUAUGCUACUGCAUGAAGAGGGGUCUGCGUACCAUUAGCUAGUAGGUGGGGUAAUGGCCUACCUAGGCGACGAUGGUUAGCGGGUCUGAGAGGAUGAUCCGCCACACUGGCACUGGAACACGGGCCAGACUCCUACGGGAGGCAGCAGUGAGGAAUAUUGCGCAAUGGGGGAAACCCUGACGCAGCGACGCCGCGUGAGUGAGGAAGGCCUUCGGGUCGUAAAGCUCUGUCAAGAGGAAAGAAGUGUACAAUGGCUAAUACCUGUUGUAUUUGACGGUACCUCUAAAGGAAGCACCGGCUAACUCCGUGCCAGCCGCCGC